rnacentral:rRNA from 1 species
CCUACGGGAGGCAGCAGUGGGGAAUAUUGCGCAAUGGGGGAAACCCUGACGCAGCAACGCCGCGUGAGUGAGGAAGGACUUCGGUCUGUAAAGCUCUGUUAAUGUGGAAAAAUGGUAGUUGGUCUAAUAGGCCGAUUAUUUGAUGGUACACAUAGAGGAAGCACCGGCUAACUUCGUGCCAGCAGCCGCGGUAAUACGAAGGGUGCAAGCGUUGUUCGGAUUUAUUGGGCGUAAAGCGCGCGUAGGCGGACCUGUAAGUCAGAUGUGAAAUCUCGGGGCUCAACCUCGAAACUGCGUCUGAAAACUGCAGGUCUAGAAUCUCGGAGGGGGAAGGGGAAUUUCGCAUGUAGGGGUAAAAAUCCGUAGAUAUGCGAAGGAACACCAGAGGCGAAGGCGCCUUCCUGGACGAGUAUUGACGCUGAGGCGCGAAAGCGUGGGGAUCAAACAGGAUUAGAUACCCUGGUAGUCCACGCUGUAAACUAUGAACACUAGGUAUUGGAGGAUUUGACCCUUCAGUGCCGUAGCUAACGCGUUAAGUGUUCCGCCUGGGAAAGUACGGUCGCAAAGACUAAAAACUUAAAGGAAAUUGAACGGCUGAGAGNGCGAGACGACGACGAGGAGGAGG